CGUCCGUGCAAUCUUAUAAUCUCAAUGUCUUACAAAGGGACUUAAAAACUAUCACAACUCUUUUUUCAAUUGUGCUGAUUACAUUAGGAAAAAAUCAGCUCCGACUUCUGUCAUGGAUAGAACAUAUUGCCUUCUAUUGGGCUGUAUUUUUAUUGCAGCUAUUGCAAGUCAGACGGAUGCAUUACGCUGCUAUAAUUGCAACAAUCUGGAUGACAACGGUUGCGAUGACCCUUUCAGUUCUGCUUCCGAACUGACUGGUUGUGUACAAUGUGUCAAAGUGAAAGGCACGAAAAGUUCCUUGCAAGUUGUGGCCAGGAUAUGUGCCCCAGAAAGAUUGCCCGUGAAUGGAUGCGAAUCAAAAACCGAACAAGGGAUCACCGGCGAGGCGUGCGUCUGCGAAACGGAUCUGUGUAACUCAUCCGUGAGGGUUGCCGCUUCAGCAACGCUUUUAAUGAUCCUGUCAUUUUACAUCACAGUACAUCUGAUGUAAUCUCAUUGCAUGCAACAGCUUUCAUUUAAAGAAGAGUGUGUUUUUAACAUUGAAGCAAUGCACAAACACGUACAUAGUUUUCAGAAGGAAAGGUCGCUAACAACAUUGACAACUCUUUAUGCAUCAACUACUAGAAGUACAUUAUAUACUUUUCAUUUUAUUCGGAUUGAAUACUAGUUUGAUGGUUGUGUAAUUGUUUUAAAUAUAUAAUUAUUGUAAUGCAUUGUCUUCGGUGUCUUAUUACAAUGUAAUAAAUAAAAUUGUCCUAAGUUAGAA